rnacentral:rRNA from 1 species
AGAGUUUGAUCAUGGCUCAGAACGAACGCUGGCGGCGUGGAUAAGACAUGCAAGUCGAACGCUGAUUACGGGGUAGCAAUAUUCCGUGGUCGGAGUGGCGCAAGGGUGCGUAACGCGUGGGUAAUCUGCCGUGAAGUUGGGGAUAACUCGCUGAAAGGCGAGCUAAUACCGGAUGUGAGAAUGGAGAGGCAUCUUUUCAUCUUCAAAGCUGGGGACCGCAAGGCCUGGCGCUUCACGAUGAACCCGCGGCCUAUCAGCUAGUUGGUGAGGUAACGGCCCACCAAGGCUAAGACGGGUAGCUGGUCUGAGAGGACGACCAGCCACACUGGAACUGAGACACGGUCCAGACACCUACGGGUGGCAGCAGUCGAGAAUUUUUCACAAUGGGCGCAAGCCUGAUGGAGCGACGCCGCGUGGGGGAUGAAUGGCUUCGGCCCGUAAACCCCUGUCAUUUGCGAACAAACCUCAUUAUUUAAAAGAUGAUGAGUUGAUGGUAGCGAAAGAGGAAGGGACGGCUAACUCUGUGCCAGCAGCCGCGGUAAUACAGAGGUCCCAAGCGUUGUUCGGAUUCACUGGGCGUAAAGGGUGCGUAGGUGGUGGGGUAAGUCUGAUGUGAAAUCUCCGAGCUCAACUCGGAAACGGCAUUGGAAACUACCCCGCUGGAGGGUUGGAGGGGGGACUGGAAUACUUGGUGUAGCAGUGAAAUGCGUAGAUAUCAAGUGGAACACCAGUGGCGAAGGCGAGUCCCUGGACAACUCCUGACACUGAGGCACGAAAGCUAGGGGAGCAAACAGGAUUAGAUACCCUAGUAGUCC